rnacentral:rRNA from 1 species
GGGGGCUCAACCCUCAGCCGGGUCCCGAACUGGGCGGCUCGGGUGCGGUAGAGGCAGCGGAAUUCCCGGUGUAGCGGUGGAAUGCGCAGAUAUCGGGAAGAACACCGAUGGCGAAGCAGCUUGCUGGGCCGUCACCGACGCUGAGGCGCGAAAGCUAGGGGAGCGAACAGGAUUAAUACCCUGGUAGUCCUAGCCGUAAACGAUGUGCGCUAGGUGUGGGGGCAGGCCUUGCCCCGUGCCGCAGCCAACGCAUUAAGCGCACCGCCUGGGGAGUACGGCCGCAAGGCUAAAACUCAAGGAAUUGACGGGGGCCCGCACAAGCAGCGGAGCAUGUGGCUUAAUUCGAAGCAACGCGAGAACCUUACCAGGGCUUGACAUGCGCCUGAAGCCGGGGAAACUCGGUGGCCGAGAGGAGGCGCGCAGGUGGUGCAUGGCUGUCGUCAGCUCGUGUCGUGAGAUGUUGGGUUAAGUCCCGAACGAGCGCAACCCCUGCCCCGUGUUGCCAGCAUUGAGUUGGGGACUCGCGGGGGACUGCGGCGCCAAGCCGGAGGAAGGCGGGGACGACGUCAAGUCAUCAUGCCCCUUAUGCCCUGGGUGCACACGUGCUACAAUGGCCGGCACAGCGGGUUGCGACUAGGCGACUAGAAGCGGAUCCUCAAAGCCGGCCCCAGUUCGGAUCGGAGGCUGCAACCCGCCUCCGUGAAGCCGGAGUUGCAGUAAUCGCGGAUCAGCACGCCGCGGUGAAUGCGUUCCCGGGCCUUGUACUCACCGCCCG